GUCUUCGUGGAGCAGAGAUACUCGUUCCCUCUAAAUACACCACCGCUGCAGGUACACGUGGGAAAGCUGGUGGUUCGACUCCACCCGAAGACA